AUUGAACGCUGGCGGCAUGCCUUACACAUGCAAGUCGAACGGUAACAGGUCUUCGGAUGCUGACGAGUGGCGAACGGGUGAGUAAUACAUCGGAACGUGCCCGAUCGUGGGGAUAACGCAGCGAAAGCUGUGCUAAUACCGCAUACGAUCUACGGAUGAAAGCGGGGGAUCGCAAGACCUCGCGCGGACGGAGCGGCCGAUGGCAGAUUAGGUAGUUGGUGGGAUAAAAGCUUACCAAGCCGACGAUCUGUAGCUGGUCUGAGAGGACGACCAGCCACACUGGGACUGAGACACGGCCCAGACUCCUACGGGAGGCAGCAGUGGGGAAUUUUGGGACAAUGGGCGCAAGCCUGAUCCAGCCAUGCCGCGUGCAGGAUGAAGGCCUUCGGGUUGUAACUAGCUUUGUACGGUAACGAAAAGAACUACUGGUUAAUACCUGGGGUCCGAUGACGGUACCGUAAGAAUAAGCACCGGCUAACUACGUAGCCAGCAGCCGCGGUAAU
rnacentral:rRNA from 1 species